CACAAUGUAGCUACUUAAAUUGACUAUAUGUAACUUUUGCAUGUUUCUGAAAGUGUGUAAUGUUCCAUCUGAUUAUCAUGAAUGACCUGUAACAG